GACGAACGCUGGCGGCGUGCUUAACACAUGCAAGUCGAACGGAAAGGCCCUGCUUUUGUGGGGUGCUCGAGUGGCGAACGGGUGAGUAACACGUGAGUAACCUGCCCUUGACUUUGGGAUAACUUCAGGAAACUGGGGCUAAUACCGGAUAGGAGCUCCUGCUGCAUGGUGGGGGUUGGAAAGUUUCGGCGGUUGGGGAUGGACUCGCGGCUGAUCAGCUUGUUGGUGGGGUAGUGGCUCACCAAGGCGUUGACGGGUAGCCGGCCUGAGAGGGUGACCGGCCACAUGGGGACGCGGGCACGGUCCAGACGCCUAAUGGAGGAAGCAGUGGGGAAUGUUGGACAAUGGGCGGCAGCCGGAUUGAGCCAUAUCGCGUGGGUGACGAAGUCCGUCGGGUUGUAAAGCCCUUUUGCUGGGAAAGAAAAGCAGCAGGUUAAUACCCCGCUGUUCUGACGGGACCAAAUGAAUAAGCACCGGCUAACUUCGUG
rnacentral:rRNA from 1 species